AUCGAUUACAGUGGACUGGACUGUGAUGUAGGAAGGAGCUCACAAAUCUCUAUGGCUUCACCCGUCUGCCUCUGUGGCUUGCCAGCAAAGUCCAGAGUACAAGUCCUAACUGGAUGGCAAUCCCUGGUGGAUCCCUGCAAGUGGGGGCUGUGGGCCUCUUUGUCUGGAUUCUCCACCAUGUUUCUACUUCCAAGUUGCCCUGGCCUCAUCUGUCCUGCAAAUGAGGAAGGAGAGAUUGGAUGUUGAAGACAAGGCAUUUUAUGGAUUUCAAGGAGCAAAUCUAACCAGCAUAAUGUGGUGGAAAAAUAAUCAGGGAUUGGCCCAAGACCGGGACUUAUCAUCAUUCAAGGCUGCUUUAGUUUCACCUUCUAUGAAAAUAAAUUGUCCUCAGUGUUCCCAGAAGAGUGAGCCCAACUGAGACUCAUUGGCCCAGACGGACCCUGCUCUGGCCAAGAUUUCAAGUUCCCUAAAAGUCAGCCAUAAACUCUUUUAUUUCCAACAUGCAUUUCUCUUUUCUUUCCCAGGAUAGUGUACUUCUACUUAAUGGAGAAUCUAAACUUUCUCUGGGUUGUAGCACCAGUUAGAGUGCCAAGAAAAUCCAGGUCAGCUGGUUCACAGUCAAUGCUGUUCUUGUGGCAGCACUCUGAGACCCUCAGAGUGCUCUGAAGUUUGAUCCUCUUAAUUGACACCAGUCUAACCUAUGGGCAAUGCCGAUGGGGAAUCUGCCACUUAUACCCAUACCUACUCAUGAUCCUCAGACAUAGUAAUAAUCGAGUUUAGCUCCUAUAAUUUCUUGGGGGAGAAAUAUUCAACACACAGGUUCAAACACCCAUCAGUCUAUUGGGGAUUUUCUUCUCUCCUAGGACAAAAGAAAGCCUACUAACAGAUCCUAUAUGCUACUGCAUCAAGAGUCUCCAGAUAUGAUUGGGUUGAGUGCUCAAGGGUUUCAGAAUAAGUCUUAGGGAAAAUGCAUGGUGUCUCAACCUCAGGCAGUUGACUGUGGUCACCAAGGCCCCCAGAAAAGAACUUUUCAAUUGGUAUAUUUACACUUUCUUUACUUAGUAUUGAUUCUAAAUAAGGACAAAACCCAUCCUUGAUGGGAAGCCUAUGAGUAAGAACAGAUGAGUUAGAGUUUGUUUUAUCUUCCCACUUUCCUUUUGCUGAAGCCAAAAACAGCCUUCCCUUCCGAGGGAGAUGGGAGGUGACCUGGGAGCAGCAGGGACUCUCUCAGAGGCCAUGUGAAGAGUUUGGAGAGUCUAGGACACAGGAGCGGUGUCUUCGGGAGGGUGAGGGCACCUCCAACCCUCAUCUGUGGAACGGGGAAAGCAGACAGUCUUGAAGGUCCCCCAUUCUCCAGCUGCCCCUGUCCCAGGUUGUAUACUGAUGUCCAGGCUUGUCAUCUUCUAAACAUGCAUUUCUCUCAAAGCACCUGGUUUUGUACUUCUAUAAAUAAUCCCGCCCCCCAUUUGCAACAGAUUGAUUUUUCCAAAUGUGUUUAUGUUGAUUGGUUAUUUGUAGGACUCCACAUAAGCUCUGAGUAGUUUUCCUUAUGGGAAAAAUUGCACUGAGAGAAUUAAUGACUAAGGUACAGUUGCUGAAACACUGGCUGCUCAUAAGGGUAUGUGUGUGCGUGUGUGUGCACACACAUGUGUGUUUCAGGGCUUCAAAAUUCUCGCUGAUAAACACUGCACAAGUUACUGAUUCUUUUGAAAUCUCAGUUUUCAUCUGACUGAAGUGAACAUAGUAACUACCUUGCUAUUGUGUGUGUGUGUGUGUGUGUGUGUGUGUGUGUGGUGAAAUGAGCUAAUAUAUGGAAGAGCCUGACACAAUACCUGUUCUAUGGUGAGUGAAAAAAAUAUAAGCCGUUAUUAUCAGUAAAAACAAGGCAGGAAUUUUUUCUUUGUGUCACUUUCUUCAUGUUUUCAUGAUACCUACACAAUUGU
rnacentral:lncRNA from 1 species